rnacentral:tRNA from 1 species
UCAUAGCUCAGUUGGUAGAGCAACUGAUUCGUAACCAGUAGGUCGGCGGUUCAAUUCCGCCU